AUUGAACGCUGGCGGCAGGCCUAACACAUGCAAGUCGAGCGGCUCGGCGGACGGGGACGUAAUGCUUAGGCAUCUGCCUGGUACUGAUGGAUAACGUCCGGCAACGGGCGCUAAUACCGCAUACUAUCAGAUGAGCCUAGGUCGGAUUAGCUCGGUGGUGGGGUAAAGGCCUACCAAGGCGACGAUGCGUAACUGGUCUGAGAGGAUGACCAGCCACACUGGGACUGAGACACGGCCCAGACGCCUACGGGAGGCAGCAGUGGGGAAUAUUGGGCAAUGGGCGAAAGUCUGACCGAGCCACGCCGCGUGUGUGAAGAAGGUCUUCGGAUUGUAAAGCACUGUAGGUAGGGAAGCGUUACCUACAGAAUAAGCAACGGCUAACUACGUGCCAGCAGCCGCGGUAAUUC
rnacentral:rRNA from 1 species